AACGAACGCUGGCGGCAUGCCUAACACAUGCAAGUCGAACGAGACCUUCGGGUCUAGUGGCGCACGGGUGCGUAACGCGUGGGAACCUGCCCUUAGGUUCGGAAUAACUCUCCGAAAGGGGUGCUAAUACCGGAUAAUGUCUUCGGACCAAAGAUUUAUCGCCUUUGGAUGGGCCCGCGUUGGAUUAGCUGGUUGGUAGGGUAAAAGCCUACCAAGGCGACGAUCCAUAGCUGGUCUGAGAGGAUGAUCAGCCACACUGGGACUGGGACACGGCCCAGACUCCUACGAGAGGCAGCAGUGGGGAAUAUUGGACAGUGGGCGAAAGCCUGAUCCAGCAAUGCCGCGUGAGUGAUGAAGGCCUUAGAGUUGUAAAGCUCUUUUACCCAGGAUGAUAAUGACAGUACCGAGAGAAUAAGCUCCGGCUAACUCCGUG
rnacentral:rRNA from 1 species